UACAGAGGUGGCAAGCGUUGUUCGGAAUUACUGGGCGUAAAGGGCGCGUAGGCGGUUCGAUAAGUCCCGUGUGAAAUCCCUCGGCUCAACUGAGGAACUGCACGGGAAACUGACGGGCUUGAGUUCGGGAGAGGGAAGCGGAAUUCCGGGUGUAGCGGUGAAAUGCGUAGAUAUCCGGAGGAACACCGGUGGCGAAGGCGGCUUCCUGGACCGAUACUGACGCUGAGGCGCGAAAGCUAGGGGAGCAAACGGG
rnacentral:rRNA from 1 species